GGCCUGUUCCCUAACUGCCUUCCUCUUCUAGGUCUGACAGUCUCCAAUCUGAGCAGGAACAGGCCACAACCCAGGAUGAGAGCCUCCUUCAGACAGAGCUGCUGCAGCAGGAGCACUAAGUCUCACAGGCCUUGAAUUUGUCCAUCCUGUGGUCCAGACAGGCGACUUGUGGGUCUGAUUGCAUUUCCUUCUCAUACAGCAGACCUUGAGAAAACUGAGGAGGCCUAAGAAGCCACAAACACCUUGGACCCAUGUAAGUUCUCCAGCCUUGGAUCAAGGCCUCCUCAGAAUAAGACACCUUUUAUAGCUGUGAACUCUCCAGUGAGGCAAAUACCAGCUGACCUCCACGUGAUCCAGCCACAAUCAGAUAUAGGUCCUCCUGAAGAAAAGAAAAUAUCAAAAAUGAGUUAAGAUACAGAAAACCUGAGACUAGAAUUACUGAGAACCCUGACAUUCAACAGAAUGUGGCCCUGUGAUGGGAACAACCACAUGGAGGGUACAGAUGUUGAUGAGCAAGACUUUUCUUGCUCAUCAGUUCAAUGAUGACGGCUUUGGCAGUUGACUGUGUCCUCAGCCCUCUCUGUGUGGUAGGAAAUCUGGCAUAGAAGACUGUGUUGAUGCCAACCAGUUCCAGAAAGACCACACCCAAAACAUCAUAUUUCAUUCUCCAGUCCAGUGUUGAAGCUGAGUCCAUGCAUAAUUGUUGCUGAAGAAAAUUCACUCCAGAGAUGGUGGCAGUCCCUCACCCCUCCUGUGAGCCAUGUGAUCCUCCAUAUGUAAGACUAAUAGGAAUUCUUCAGUUUUCCAGCCCAGACUAAAGUGACUGGUCCUGAGAAAGGAUUUUUAGAAGACUUCUGAGUCAUCCUUGAUGUUCUUGGGCACACAAAUGCUGUCCCCGGUUUUCUUGGGUCUCUGGAAAGCACACAAUUGUAUGUUGGCUGAAAGAGUCAAAUAGUGGACACCACAUUAAAGAAUUGGCAGUGUGUGUUAUUUAUCAAAUCUUCCCAUAGGGCCACAAAGAAUGUUCUUGGAACUUGUCUCAUACUUAGCCUUGAUGAGGGCUUGACUUGCAAAGCCCCAAUGAGGCAUUGCUGUACUGGCUUUUAAAAGCUUUUUAUAUAUGGUGACUGCCUUUCCAACAUGUUUCCAAGGCCAGCCAUAAGCUGUUGUCUGUGCUGCUAAAUCUGCAGCAAGAGACUGUGGCUUAGCUUAAUUUUUCACUUGGGUUUUGGUUGGGUAUUGUUUGCUUUGGGUUUUUUGAUUGUUUGUUUAUUUUAUUUGUUAUGGUUUGAGAUUUUGCUGUUUAUUUGUUCUUUCUUUUGUUCUUUUUGUUGCAUUGGUAUUUUGUUAAGGUUUCUCACUGUUUAUGUUGAUUGCUCCCUUUAAGCCCCCAUUGAGUAAAAUGACUGUAGUUUUCUUAAUAAAAAAGUGAU
rnacentral:lncRNA from 1 species